rfam:Erinaceus europaeus unplaced genomic scaffold scaffold00041, whole genome shotgun sequence
GUGCUUGCUUUGGCAGCACGUAUACUAAAAUUGAAAUGAUACAGAGAAGAUUAGCACGGCCCCUGUGCAAGGAUGACAUGCAAAUUUAUGAAGCGUUCCAUAUUUUA